rnacentral:rRNA from 1 species
UACGUAGGUGGCAAGCGUUGUCCGGAAUUAUUGGGCGUAAAGCGCGCGCAGGUGGUUUCUUAAGUCUGAUGUGAAAGCCCACGGCUCAACCGUGGAGGGUCAUUGGAAACUGGGGAACUUGAGUGCAGGAGAGAAGAGUGGAAUUCCACGUGUAGCGGUGAAAUGCGUAGAGAUGUGGAGGAACACCAGUGGCGAAGGCGACUCUUUGGCCUGUAACUGACACUGAGGUGCGAAAGCAUGGGGAGCAAACAGG